rnacentral:pre_miRNA from 1 species
CUUUUUAAAACUCUUUCAUUGAUUGGUUGAAAUUCAUGUGAAUCCACUUAAUUGGAAGGGUUGUCCAUAUUUUUAGUAGACUCCACAUGGAUUUUAACCAAACAAUGAGAGAGCGUUGAAGAG